AGACCCGAAACCCGGUGAUCUAGCCAUGGGCAGGUUGAAGGUUGGGUAACACUAACUGGAGGACCGAACCGACUAAUGUUGAAAAAUUAGCGGAUGACCUGUGGCUGGGGGUGAAAGGCCAAUCAAACCGGGAGAUAGCUGGUUCUCCCCGAAAGCUAUUUAGGUAGCGCCUCGUGAAUUCAUCUCCGGGGGUAGAGCACUGUUUCGGCUAGGGGGCCAUCCCGGCUUACCAACCCGAUGCAAACUGCGAAUACCGGAGAAUGUUAUCACGGGAGACACACGGCGGGUGCUAACGUCCGUCGUGAAGAGGGAAACAACCCAGACCGCCAGCUAAGGUCCCAAAGUCAUGGUUAAGUGGGAAACGAUGUGGGAAGGCCCAGACAGCCAGGAUGUUGGCUUAGAAGCAGCCAUCAUUUAAAGAAAGCGUAAUAGCUCACUGGUCGAGUCGGCCUGCGCGGAAGAUGUAACGGGGCUAAACCAUGCACCGAAGCUGCGGCAGCGACGCUUAUGCGUUGUUGGGUAGGGGAGCGUUCUGUAAGCCUGUGAAGGUGGCCUGUGAGGGUUGCUGGAGGUAUCAGAAGUGCGAAUGCUGACAUAAGUAACGAUAAAGCGGGUGAAAAGCCCGCUCGCCGGAAGACCAAGGGUUCCUGUCCAACGUUAAUCGGGGCAGGGUGAGUCGACCCCUAAGGCGAGGCCGAAAGGCGUAGUCGAUGGGAAACGGGUUAAUAUUCCCGUACUUGGUGUUACUGCGAAGGGGGGACGGAGAAGGCUAUGUUGGCCGGGCGACGGUUGUCCCGG
rnacentral:rRNA from 1 species